rnacentral:lncRNA from 13 species
ACCCCGCUGCCUUACAGAAAAGAGCAUUCCGUCUUUGCCUGCCCAGCAACUGAGGCCCUUGGAGGAGACUCUGCCUUUGCCCAAUAGUUUCCCUGGAUUUUUGUGAUGGGGAGAAUGAAACAGGAGUCAGACAGAGAGGGACCUAUGGAGCAGAUAAGUAGAGUUUUACCUGUUGAGCAAGCCCUUGCCAAUCACUUUCAUUCUUCCACUCCAGAUCUGGGUCUCUCAAUACUUGGUGUGAACAUGUGACCCAGACAUAGCCAAUUGGAGGGCUCCAUCCAUCUGGCCAAUAUGAUUGGUCAGGUCUGUGCACAUGACCCAAACUGGACUAAUCAGGAGAUUCACUUCCUACCACUUACUGCUCAAACUGUCAGAUACACACCUUUCUUGAGACUCCGGGCUGCUCCCACCACCUUGGGAGUGAACCCUGCACAGAAGAAGCUGAGAGCACGAAGGACUAGAAGAUUCUGACGGCAUCUUUGAACACCUGGAUCCAACUGUGCGAGGAUCUGGGGACAGACACAACUGGCUCCGGCCCUUUUCCUGCCUCUUCGUGCUUUGAAUACUCACAUGAUGCCUGGAGCUGCAGCAGCCAUCUUGUUCACCACAAAGGAAGAGCCAAGAGGAUCAUGGAGUAGCCAGCUCUGGAAUUGUUCUGCCAGUGACAGCAGAUACUUAUCUCCAAAUUUUUUUGGAAAAAAUGGAAGGAAGACAUCCGUGAGGAGGAGAUUCUGUCUGUUCUGCUGUUCUGUGGUCGCAGCCCCCAGAAUAGUAGUGCAUGCAAAAGAAUAUCUGUUGAAUGAAUAAUGUGUGAACGAAUGCACCAGCUAGAUCACGAAGAGGGCGCGGCAUUCAGGGAGCACGCCCGACUUUCAUCUCAACACUAUAGCUUUAGUCCUGAAAAUUCCUCGGCCAGGUGCGGUGGCUCACGCCUGUGAUCCCAGCACUUUAGGAGGCCGUGGCGGGUGGAUCACCUGAGGUCAGAGGUUUGAAAGCAGCCUGGCCAACAGAGCGAAACCACACCUCUACUAAAAAUACAAAAAUUAGCUGGUGCACGCCUGUAAUCCCAGCUACUCAGGAGGCUGAGGCAGGAGAAUCACUUGAACCCAGGAGGCAGAGGUUGCAGUGAGCCGAGAUCCCACCACUGCACUCCAGCCUGGAUGACAGAGUGGGACUCAAUCCCCACAAGAGCGAAACACUGUCUCAAAAAAAAAAAAGAAAGAAAGAAAAUUCCUCAGC